rnacentral:rRNA from 1 species
UACGUAGGUGGCAAGCGUUGUCCGGAUUUAUUGGGUUUAAAGGGUGCGUAGGCGGCUUUGUAAGUCAGUGGUGAAAUACUCCAGCUUAACUGGAGGAGUGCCAUUGAUACUGCGGAGCUUGAGUACAGAUGAGGUAGGCGGAAUUGACGGUGUAGCGGAUGAAAUGCAUAGAUAUCGUCAAGAACACCGAUAGCGAAGGCAGCUUACUGGGCUGUAACUGACGC